GUGCCAGCCGCCGCGGUAACACGUAGGGGGCAAGCGUUGUCCGGAUUCAUUGGGCGUAAAGAGCUCGUAGGCGGCUCAGUAAGUCGGGUGUGAAACCCUCAGGCUCAACCUGGGGACGCCACUCGAUACUGCUGUGGCUAGAGUCCAGUAGAGGAGUGUGGAAUUCCCGGUGUAGCGGUGAAAUGCGCAGAUAUCGGGAGGAACACCAACGGCGAAGGCAGCACUCUGGGCUGGUACUGACGCUGAGGAGCGAAAGCGUGGGUAGCAAACAGGAUUAGAUACCCUGGUAGUCCACGCCGUAAACGUUGGGCGCUAGGUGUGGGGGCCAUUCCACGGUCUCUGUGCCGUAGCUAACGCAUUAAGCGCCCCGCCUGGGGAGUACGGCCGCAAGGCUAAA
rnacentral:rRNA from 1 species